GUAUUAUACAAAAAUCAAUUUCAAACCGUUGGCCUUUUACAAUAGCUGACUGAAGUAGAGUGAUUUUUAUGGCCGAAAGCAUGUGGUUGCUAAUGGUGUGGCCCUUAUUCAACGAAGCAGUGCUGCAAAUCAAGGGACUUCCAGUGCUCUGCACGUGCUAGUUUUAUCAUCGCUCUUUCCUGCUUGGGCGAGAGAGAGAGAUGGCGAUGGCGUCCAACAUGGUUACAUCAUUUCAUAAGGGCAAUGUGCUCCAGGUUUCCUGUAAAAAGAGAGAGAAGAAAGACGGUGAUCGUUACCCUUACAAAGUUAUCGAAAUUACGCCCCCGCCCAAGAAUUUAGGAGUUCGUUGUUUCCCGUCUCAGAACAUGCAAUGUGGGGAGAGUGUCACCAUAGAAGGCCAAACUUACACGAUUUCAGCUGUAAUUCAUCGAUACCAGCUUCGGAAGGGAAAAUACGAACCUAGUGAAAAGAGACUUGAUGUGCUGUCAACGGGGAGAUACAUCUUGAACUUGUACCUGGAAAAUUUGCUCCAACAAUCUUGAGACAUAUUUAUCAUUAGUACCCGUCUUGAGUAGAAGCAACCAAUGAGUAAUGGCUGAAUCGCUAUCAUCACGAUUGCUACCCUCCAUGCGACCACCAAGCCCAACACGAAUGCCAGGGAAGCUGUAGUAGUGACUUGUAGAAGCAAGGACAGACGAUCGCCCACAAGGGACCGGACCACAUUAGCUUCAGCAGCUAGCCUUGCACAGAUUGCUGCGCUUGAGUUCUCAUCCCGAUCGAACCACCCAAUCUCAAACGUUAGCACUCUUUCUAGCAUUUUCUCCCUUAUCCUUUUAGUCAAACGCUCCCCCAUGACUGCAAAGUUGUAAUGCUGGAUGAGAUUGGUGACAAUGCUGACGAACGCUAAGGUCAAGAAGAUGAAGCAAUAUACUUUGAUCUUUGAUUUGAUGAGCUCCUUGUCAUUCAGGAAGAAAACUCCAAGAACUGAUCCCAAGCAGUAAGAAUGUAGAGGCUGAACUGCUCCAAAGGCAAUAGCGCCGAAGCACCCAAACAUGGCUCUCUUCCACUCCUGUGAGUUCAUUUUCAGCAUCCUCCAUUGAGAAGGAGAAGAACGUGCAGAAGAUUUCAAGGAGGUUUCUUUGUUAGGACUGCUGGAGAGAUGAUCUUGGAUGGCCGACAGUGCUGGGCUGCUCCCUUGGAUGAAUGACAGUUCUGGAGUGCCCGCUCGUACAAUCGAUGGUGCUGGGCUGCGUAUGCUCAAACCUAUGUUGCUUGAAUUUUUUUUAUUUACCAUUUUAUGAUGAUUGCUUUCUAUUUCAGCCAGAGAAUAAGCAUUGAACUCUUCUUCAUUUUUCAUGGUUGAUUGUUGCGACCGCACCAUUGCAGAGUAGGCGCCAUUGCUCAUUUGGAUGAGCUGAUCAUGAGAACCUGAUUCAACUACUUUCCCUGAUUGAACAACUGCUAUCAAAUCUGCAUUACAGAGUGUGGAGAGGCGAUGGGCAAUGAUUAUCGUUGUUCUUCCUACUGCAGCCUGAUCCAAUGCAUCUUGCACAGCCCUUUCAGAUUGUGUAUCCAAUGCACUUGUAGCUUCGUCAAGCAAUAGUAUUCUUGGGUCUUUGAGUAA